UACGUAGGGUGCAAGCGUUGUCCGGAAUUAUUGGGCGUAAAGAGCUCGUAGGCGGUUCGUCGCGUCGGCUGUGAAAACCUGAGGCUCAACCUCAGGCCUGCAGUCGAUACGGGCGGACUUGAGUACUGCAGGGGAGACUGGAAUUCCUGGUGUAGCGGUGAAAUGCGCAGAUAUCAGGAGGAACACCGGUGGCGAAGGCGGGUCCUGCGUGGCAGUGAACUGACGUGAGGAAGCGAAAGGCGUGGGGAGCGAACAGG
rnacentral:rRNA from 1 species